GACGUAGGGCGCGAGCGUUGUCCGGAUUUAUUGGGCGUAAAGAGCUCGUAGGCGGCUUGUCGCGUCGACCGUGAAAACUCGCAGCUCAACUGCGAGCCUGCGGUCGAUACGGGCAGGCUAGAGUUCGGUAGGGGAGACUGGAAUUCCUGGUGUAGCGGUGAAAUGCGCAGAUAUCAGGAGGAACACCGGUGGCGAAGGCGGGUCUCUGGGCCAAAACUGACGCUGAGGAGCGAAAGCGUGGGGAGCAAACAGG
rnacentral:rRNA from 1 species